rnacentral:rRNA from 1 species
ACGAGAUUCUCGCUGUCCCUAUCUACUAUCUAGCGAAACCACAGCCAAGGGAACGGGCUUGGAAAAAUCAGCGGGGAAAGAAGACCCUGUUGAGCUUGACUCCAGUCUGGCAUUGUUCGGAGACAUGCCGGGGUGUAGCAUAAGUGGGAGACGGGGGUAACGCGGCGUUCGUCGAGAGGCGGGCGUCGUGCCUCGCCGACUUUGAAAUACCACUACUCGCAUCGUUUCCUUACUUACUCGGUGGUGCGGAGCGCGUGCUGCUCGGUCAGUGGUUCGGCGCCGGGUUGUACGGCUCGGCGGUUCUCACGCUCGCGGCUUUCGGGUCGCGCAGCGUGGCGUUCUGUCCGUUGUCCUGUCGGCUCGCGCGUUCGUUCCCGUUGCGGCCGUCAGUCACGAUCGAUUCCCGGUCGACUUAAGCGCGAUUAUCGCCGCCAAGUGUCCUUCCGGUCUACGGCGCGGAUGUGUGGUGAGCGUUCGCGCGUUUGCCGCGCGUUCGCGUCGCCCGGAAAGCCUGGCGACGUCGCGUGAUCCGAUCCGAGGACACCGCCAGGUGGGGAGUUUGACUGGGGCGGUACAUCUGUCAAAGAAUAACGCAGGUGUCCUAAGGCCAGCUCAGCGAGGACGGAAACCUCGCGUAGAGCAAAAGGGCAAAAGCUGGCUUGAUCCCGGACGCUCAGUACGCGUAGGGACUGCGAAAGCAUCGGCCUCUCGAUCCUCUCGUCCGCUGAAGGGUUUUCAGCGAGAGGUGUCAGAAAAGUUACCACAGGGAUAACUGGCUUGUGGCAGCCAAGCGUUCAUA